rnacentral:rRNA from 1 species
UACGUAGGGGGCAAGGCGUUGUCCGGAUUUAUUGGGCGUAAAGAGCGUGUAGGCGGCCUGAAAGGUCAGCUGUGAAAACUCGAGGCUCAACCUCGAGACGUCGGUUGAAACCAUCUGGCUAGAGUCCGGAAGAGGAGUGUGGAAUUCCCGGUGUAGCGGUGAAAUGCGCAGAUAUCGGGAAGAACACCCGUGGCGAAGGCGGCACUCUGGGACGGUACUGACGCUGAGACGCGAAAGCGUGGGGAGCGAACAGG